AUAUCUUCAAAGUUAUAAGAUAACGUUUAAAGGAGCUUUUAAACUUGCAUUGCAAUUUACAACACUGGCAAUUGCCAUCCGAUCGCUUGAAAGGAGGUGUUGGCAACUCUGCCAAUUGACGCGCAAAAUUCCAUGGGAAAUCAGAUAAAAAAAAGUGCAUAAUCCUAAUCUCUUCUAAUUGGGUGUAAUUUGCUGCGAAUGUGGCGCCAAUCAGCUAUUUUUAUCCGGAUCAUAACGACAAAAACGAAGUAAAUUACUUGGCCAUAUGGAAGCAGCCUCAUACAGUUGUUCGGGCUUCCAUGAAAGGCACAAAAUACUCGCAGUCUCGACCCUCCUCAAAAUAAUAUGUGAGUCUCGUCGCAGGCAAAAUGCUGCCGCCCAGCAAGGCGGCCUGUGGUCCAAGUCCAGGCAACAGGAAUCAAAUCAAAAUCAACCUAAGCUGGGUAAGCUGGGUCGGGGAUGGGUGAGGCAGGCACUAACAUCAAGGAUCUCAUAGAGAAAUGCUCAAAACACACACUGAAAGGACUGCUGUGCGCUCUUAGCCCAUUACCAGGAUGAAAAGUUGCCAAGAAGAGAAACAGGACGGAGAAUGCACUUCAUAGGGUAGUAACUUAUACGCAGAUUAUUAAGAAUUCUGCCGACUUAAUAUUAAAUAAUCUCUUUUCGAGGAAGAGAUACUUAUGGUAGCUUCAAGAACUCUUCCGGGUCUCAUGCACCCCGUAGAGCAUUGGGUCUUCGAUCGAAGUUUCUCGCCCGAGCCUGGCACACUCGAGUACAUACGCAUGCAGCAGGCUCGUUAUAUCCACAUCCUGUCAAAUGUGCGCCUCAUGCGUCCCCAAUUCGAUGAAGCGUUGCUCGCCUGCUCGGCUCGUUAGCUGGUUCGUUUUUGCAUACUCCGGCCGAGCGACGAACUGGGCCCCCUCCGCCCAUCCUGGACGCUUCAUCCACUCUUGGCCGACAAUUGCCACCACCGAAAGCCGCCGCCAGUAGCGUCGGCCCGACCGCCGACUGCAGCCCGCCCAGGUCUCUCACCUCCCAGGAACGGCAACAGCAGCAGCAGCAAAAGAAGCAGCAUAAACGGCAGCAGCAGAGUCGCACAGUCAGCCCGAAAGCAACGCCGAGCCAUAGCCAUAACAUCCCAUCCUUCCCCCGCCAUCCCCCGGCGAAACUAUGGCUGUGGAAGGCGCUCGGUGUGUUACACAGACACGGCUGAAAUGAGACGACAAACAACCAUAAUAAUCGACCGACCCACUGGCACGGUGGGACCAAAAGGCCCGGUGCCGGCACACGGUUAGCGAAAAAUAUGUCUCGAAUGCGACUGUUUCUGAAUCUUGAAAUAUUGAGAAUUAAUCCUGGUUUUUGUAACAUCAACCCCUUGCUUUGUAGGAACCCUUGCUAUGCCUUGGGGUAAAGGUCAAUGAUCUGUAAAAUAUCCUUGUCCCAUCAAAGGAUACAGUUUGUAAAGUCCAUACAGAAAUUAUAUGAAAUUUAAUAGGGAAGUAGAUUGAUUAAUUAUCUUAUGAGGAGAUAUUUUGUAUUCCUGAUUCCGUACCAUUAUGGAGUUAUGGAACUGCAUCCGAAGUAGUUUAGGAAA